UCGGUUCUGCUUUUGCUUCCAAGAGUCCAGACUCGACACUCGGUUCGUUCGGGUAGUGUCGUUCGACAAGUUAGUUACGGGUUAACGAAGGAAUACACGUAUCGGUUAAUUCGUCUCCUCCCAAGUGUUACUUAUUCUUCUUAUUGAACGUCUGCAAAUUUACCUUCUCGUUCUUCGUUCUUCGAAUCAUCUUGAACGUUGCAACGGACGAAUCCCUUCAAGGACGACCAAGGAAGGACUUAUUCACGAACCUCUCGAAACCAGAGCGAUGUUCCUUGCGAUAUUUCGGAGACGUGUACUCGGCAGGUACGAGGGUUCGAAAAGAUCGUCGAUUGGAUAAAGCCGGAAAGUGAGUCAAAGCAACGUCGCCAUUUUCAUCUGUAAAGAAAAAUAAUUGUAAAACGUUGGAUCGGCCUGGAAGAUUGAAAGAUAAUUAAUUAUUAAAGGUGCAUUCGAUUUAGUUUACCGUAUAAUUCUGAUUAGAAGUAAGAAAAAAGAAAACAGAUAAAGAGGGAAAGCGAAAGGAAGAGUAAUUACAGGAUGUCUUUCGGUACUAAUCGAUUUCCUUCGAGCCAACACACGCGUUAUCGCAGCAGUUGGGGACCGUCUUCCGUUUCCGUGUUCGAUCGUGCAGACGUACCUAGGCCAUCUCCCGAAGAAGAGGAAUACGCCGAAUUUUAUCACGAACGAUUGCAUUCGGCUCAGAGCAGGCAACUGAUUCCGCUUCAGGAAGAUUUAGCCGACUGGAUCAACAAGACUAUAAACGUCGAUUAUAUAACGGGUGAAAAUUUUUUCGACACAUUGGAUAAUGGCGUGGUUGUUUGCCGAUUGGCUAAAGUUAUACAGGAAAAAGCUAGAUCGGCUAUCGAUGCUGGAAAAGCGAAAGGGCCAAUACCGGUGAUUAGAGGACGUUGUUGGGAAAAUGCAGCGAGACGUAGCUUCUUCUCGCGCGACAACAUGGAAAAUUUUAUACAAUUUUGUCGUCGAUUAGGGGUACAUGAAAAUCUUCUAUUCGAAAGCGACGAUCUUGUCUUACAUGGUCAACCUCGGAACGUAGUACUCUGUUUAUUGGAAGUUGCAAGAUUAGCAGCAAGGUAUUCCUUGGAACCACCUGGUCUCGUCCAAUUGGAAAGAGAAAUCGCUGAACAAGAACAAGAUUUGCGUUGUCUUUCGGACAGCGGAAUUUCUCAUAGCAGUCUCGUUUCCUGGCAAUUCGCUCCUUCGAAAAUGUCAACGCUUCGACCGCAAACGGAAAAGAUUAAACACAGUAGUUCAACGUCUGAAGUGGCAGAGAUGACGACUGGUUGGUUGGAUCCGACAACGGGUAAUAAUCACGAGCCUGAAAUGAGACGAUCGAUUAGCGAUAAUGGGCCAGCCGGUAGCGAUGGAAUAAAUAGCGAUACCACGGAAGAUGAUUGGUCACGUGGUAGCGUUGAUGAUCCCGAUGACGUUACUUCGCCAUUACCCUCGUUAACUAGUUCACCAUCUCCAACCCAAUCACCUGCAGAUCCUCCGGAAUAUGCCGGACCUAUCACUGAACUCGAUCGCAAGGUGCGACGAGUUACGGAAGCUGUACAGAGGCUUUGCCAAUGUCCGUCUGGUAAAUGUUCCAGAUUGAAAGUACGAAAAGUUGGAGAAGGCCGAUAUCACAUAGCAGGACGCAACGUAUUCAUUAGGCUUUUGAAAGGAAGACACAUGAUGGUGAGAGUGGGCGGUGGGUGGGACACCUUGGAGCACUUCUUGGCGAGGCAUGACCCCUGUCAGGUGAGGGCUCUCAACCAAGAUGGUACACCACCCCCUACCCCAUCGUCUAUUUCAAAAGGCAGAAAGCACCGCGACAAUGACUUCCUACGCAUUCACGCCAAGUAUCGUGGUAUUUCCUUGGAACCCGUCCCCAUAUCUGUCUCCGGGCGCUAGCCUAAAAGCCAACAUCAACGGCAACGCCAGCAGCAAGCACGGCAUCAUCGCUCGCACUCCUCGACCCUGCAUAUCACAAAUACAAGGGCAUGGUGUGCAAAGGGAUACCAAAGCAAAGAAAUAUCCGACGAGUAUUGUCGGCACGUUGAUAGGCUAAUUUAA
rnacentral:misc_RNA from 1 species